AACCGGAGGAAGGUGGGGAUGACGUCGAAGCAUCAUGCCUUUUACGAUUUGGCCUACACACGUGCUACAAUGGACAAUAAAAAGAGAACCUAAACCGCGAGGUCAUGCAAACCUCAUAAAGUUGUUCUUAGUUCGGAUUGUAGUCUGCUCCUCUACUCCAUGAAGCUGGAAUCGCUAAUAAUCGAUGAUCAUAAUGCCACGGAGAAUAUUUUCCGGGGCCUUGUACCCCCCCCCCGUCACACCGGGAGAGUGUGUUGCACCCGAAGCCGGUGGAGUAACCAUUUAUGGGGCUCUCCGUCGAAGGUGGGACAAAUGAUUGGGGAGAACUCAUAACGGGGUCCCCGUAUCGGAAGGUGGGGCUGGAUCACC
rnacentral:rRNA from 1 species